UACGUAGGGCGCAAGCGUUGUCCGGAAUUAUUGGGCGUAAAGAGCUCGUAGGCGGUUUGUCGCGUCUGCUGUGAAAACCUAAGGCUCAACCUUGGGCUUGCAGUGGGUACGGGCAGACUAGAGUGCGGUAGGGGUGACUGGAAUUCCUGGUGUAGCGGUGGAAUGCGUAGAUAUCGAGAGGAACACCUGCGGCGAAGGCGGGUUGCUGGGCUGACACUGACGCUGAGGCGCGAAAGCUAGGGGAGCGAACGGG
rnacentral:rRNA from 1 species